UACGUAGGGUGCGAGCGUUGUCCGGAAUCAUUGGGCGUAAAGCGCGUGUAGGCGGCUCGGUAAGUCCGCUCUGAAAGUCCGGGGCUCAACCCCGGGAGGCGGGUGGAUACUGUCGAGCUAGAGUCCGGAAGAGGCGAGUGGAAUUCCUGGUGUAGCGGUGAAAUGCGCAGAUAUCAGGAGGAACACCAAUGGCGAAGGCAGCUCGCUGGGACGGUACUGACGCUGAGACGCGAAAGCGUGGGGAGCAAACAGG
rnacentral:rRNA from 1 species